rnacentral:rRNA from 1 species
UACAGAGGGUGCGAGCGUUAAUCGGAAUUACUGGGCGUAAAGCGUGCGCAGACGGUUGCGUAAGUCAGAUGUGAAAGCCCCGGGCUCAACCUGGGAAUUGCAUUUGAGACUGCGUAGCUAGGGUGCGGAAGAGGGAAGCGGAAUUUCCGGUGUAGCGGUGAAAUGCGUAGAUAUCGGAAGGAACACCAGUGGCGAAAGCGGCUUCCUGGUCCAGCACCGACGUCAGGCACGAAAGCGUGGGGAGCAAACAG